UACGUAGGGUGCGAGCGUUGUCCGGAAUUACUGGGCGUAAAGAGUUCGUAGGCGGUUUGUCGCGUCGUUCGUGAAAACUUGGGGCUUAACUCCAAGCGUGCGGGCGAUACGGGCAGACUUGAGUACUACAGGGGAGACUGGAAUUCCUGGUGUAGCGGUGAAAUGCGCAGAUAUCGGGAAGAACACCUAUGGCGAAGGCAGCUCUCUGGGACGGUACUGACGCUGAGACG
rnacentral:rRNA from 1 species